rnacentral:tRNA from 1 species
GCCUCUGUAGCUCAUGCUCAGUUGGUUAGAGCGCUGCACCGGAAUCGCAGGGCUGUAGGUUCAAUUCCUACCAAAGGAC